UCUGAUGAAAAUGCUUGGAGGCUCCUGGCUGAGGUUUCUCUCUCUGAUGAGAGGUUCCGGGAAGUGAAUGCACUCAUCUUUGAAGUCAUUGCCAGUGGCGAAGAUGGCAUUGAACAUGAUGCUAAGAGUCUGCCUAAGGAGCCCGAUCCUAAAGCUGAAUCCACUGAAGAAGAAAGCACCAUCACCAAAACCUCCCACCGCGCUAUGGUGGGUGGGACACAAGAAUGCGUUGUUCUGCAGUAGGAACUGGCAUUCCACAAACAGAACCAUGUUUCAUCCAUGUUAUAGUUUCUACUAAGCCCGUUUGGCAUGUAUGAUUGUGUAUGGC
rnacentral:lncRNA from 1 species